rnacentral:rRNA from 11 species
AGUGUCAAAAGGGCGUUUAGUGGAUGCCUUGGCAUGUAGAGGCGAUGAAGGACGUGGCACGCUGCGAUAAGUCUCGGGGAGUUGCGAGCAGACUUUGAUCCGAGAAUUUCCGAAUGGGGAAACCCACCGUUUCGGCGGUAUCGCACACUGAAUACAUAGGUGUGCGAGGCAAACCCGGGGAACUGAAACAUCUAAGUACCCGGAGGAAAGGACAUCAAUUGAGACUCCGUUAGUAGUGGCGAGCGAACGCGGACCAGGCCAGUGAUCUAUUUGUUAGAACCAGAACCGUCUGGAAAGUCGGGCCAUAGUGGGUGAUAGCCCCGUAUGGGUAAUGCUUUCUUCAAGUCCUUGAGUAGGGCGGGACACGUGAAAUCCUGUCUGAACAUCGGAGGACCACCUUCGAAGGCUAAGUACUCCUUGCUGACCGAUAGCGAACCAGUACCGUGAGGGAAAG